rnacentral:rRNA from 1 species
UGGGGAAUAUUGCACAAUGGGGGAAACCCUGAUGCAGCGACGCCGCGUGAACGAAGAAGGUAUUCGUAUCGUAAAGUUCUGUCCUAUGGGAAGAUAAUGACAGUACCAUAGAAGAAAGCUCCGGCUAAAUACGUGCCAGCAGCCGCGGUAAUACGUAUGGAGCGAGCGUUGUCCGGAAUUAUUGGGCGUAAAGGGUACGCAGGCGGUUUAAUAAGUCGAAUGUUAAAGAUCGGGGCUCAACCCCGUAAAGCAUUGGAAACUGAUAAACUUGAGUAGUGGAGAGGAAAGUGGAAUUCCUAGUGUAGUGCUGAAAUACGUAGAUAUUAGGAGGAAUACCAGUAGCGAAGGCGACUUUCUGGACACAAACUGACGCUGAGGUACGAAAGCGUGGGGAGCAAACAGG